AUCCAGCUGACGAGUCUCAAAUAGGACGAAACGUGCGUCCUGAAU
rnacentral:hammerhead_ribozyme from 1 species